rnacentral:lncRNA from 10 species
CAUUAAUAAGGAUUGUGACAGUAUUAAAAUGAAAGCAGUACGCAAGGCCCAAACAAUUGGUGAUAAUGAAGAAACUCUACUACCAGACGUUGCGGGAUGCCUCAAUGACCUAAUCCAGUAAAUCACAGCUCCAGCUGUCCAUGAGCUCUGUCUACCAUCUGAGGAAUUGUUUCUUUUUAAUACAAAGACUGGCACUCAUCAGAUAAUAAUUUCUGGGAUAGAAGCAAAGUAUUGGUAUUUCUUUAAGUCUCUUGAAGGUGAUUCUACUGAGCUGGGAUUAAGAACACACUGCCUUAAUCCUUUCAUCAUCAACAAAAUUAAAUACUGUUACUAUUAACAGAAGGAAAAAAAAGCUGUUUAAAGAGAGUGAGAAAGUGUUAUACCAGGAAUGGGAGCAUGAUUUUGUCAUUGAGACCAUGGCCACUGGAGCAAGACCACCUGGGUUCAACUUGUAGCUCUGCCACUUGCUAUCUAUGAACCUAGGGCACGUUAUUUGGUCUCUCUGUGCCUCAGUUUCCUCAUCUGUAAGAUGGAAAUCAUAAUAGUCACUACCUCACAUGGAGAUCAUGAGUACUAAUUGAGUUUAUAUUGUUAGAGUGCUCAAAAGAGUGUCUGGCAUGCCAAGUACUAUAUAAAUAUUUAUUAUUAAUUUUCUAACAACUCAAGUUUUUCACAGGUCCAGGCUUGUAGUUGAAAUUGAUACACAGUCUAUCCACCAAAAUAGCCUUUUCUAUAGUGUCCUGCCUCAGGGUGGGAGGCACAGAAACUAGAAAUGAAAAUUGGACAAUUAGUAGCAUUGGUGUUCUAUCAGAUUAGAAGAAACAUUCAUUCAUUCAUUCAUUUAUUUACUUGGAGACAGUCUCGCUCUGUGAUCCAGGCUGGAGUGCAGUGGUGCAAUCCCAGCUCACUGCAACCUCCACUUCCCUGGUUCAAGCGAUUCUCGUGCCUCAGCCCCCCGAGUAGCUGGAAUUACAGGCACACACCACCUUGCCUGGCUAAUUUUUGUAUUUUUAGUACAGACAGGGUUUCACCAGGUUGGCAAGGCUGGUCUCAAACUCCUGACCUCAAGUGGUCUGCCUACCUCGGCCUCCCAAUGUGCUGGGAUUACAGGCAUGAGCCACCACACCCAUCCAGAAGAAACAUUUAACCUAUUGAAUGCAUACUAUUAUAAAUACCAACAACUAGGACAUUAAAAUAGUAAUGGGAAAAUAAUUUUAGGAUUAAAAUAGAAUUCUUCAUUUGAUAAUACUCGAGGUGGAGCAAACAAAAUGGAACGGUGUCUAAGAAGAGGCAUCUUACAAGAUUACUUUUCUAGAGGCUAAAGGAAAUUAUCUUGGGCACCGGUUAUAGCCUGAGGGGCAAGUCUGUCUGUAUCUAAUAAAAGUGUCUUCUGAAAAAAGAAACAGAGAGGGAACUUUAAAGUGGAGCAUCUUGUUUUAUGAACAGCUGGAAGUGCCUACAACUCCUCCCCAAACUGAAAAGAUUACUUUUACACUAUGCAUUUUACAAUUUUACGUACACAUUUUUAAAACUCUUUUGGGAUGUGGAAGGUUUAUUUAUUCAGCCACCCAUAGCAAAUUCAAAUAGACUCCUGGCUAUCUAAAAAGCCACAGCACUCGGAAUUUCUCCCAUGGUGGUGGGGGAUGGGGAUGCUCCAUGGGGAAAUUUGUUCCCUCACCUGUAGGCUUCACUCCAAAACAAGGCAAUAGGACUGCAAUGACUUCUGUGACUCUAGCCAUGGUAAUGCCUUGCAGUGGGGGGGUUACAUUUUGCAUCUCUCUAAGCUUCCAUACUGGGCCAGCAAUAUCACUGAAUUCUUCCAAGAGAAAAUAGCUCCCCCAAAGGUGGCACCCACAGGAAUCUCUGCCAGGUUCCCAAGUCUACUGAUUCUUGCAUUCCACCCCUUCCCUCAAGGUUCAAUUCCUUUAUUUUAAAAUUAUAUCCUUUAGAAACUUUUUUUUUAGCAAAGACUUGUGAGAGGUCAAUUCUCCUUCUUUUUAAAAACAUCAGUCAUAAAGGAUACUUCUGUUUGAUGUAGACUUUUAGAUUAAAGUUCUGAGUAAAGAUGGUGGAUUGAACCACAAAUCCAAAUUUUGCUUUUCCAGAAAUCAUAUAAAACUACAAUGAAUAUAUAUUAUUUAGAAAUGCAUGAACCUUUAAGAAUAUGGGAAAUGGGAGAAGAGACAACAACUGACUUCUGGAAGCCGGAAAGAAGAUGGGUAAAUAAACUAACCCAACAUGUCAAAGAAACAUUCUAGGCUGACUCAGUUUUAUUUUUUUUUCCUAACAUAAUCUAAACUCCAGGAAAUGGUGACACCAGGUAACACUGGAAAUGGAAUAAAGAGGGUGGC